ensembl:snRNA U2 U2 spliceosomal RNA
AUCGCUUCUCGGCCUUUUGGCUAAGAUCAAGUGUAAGAACAAACAUUGGCAAUAGAGGCAAUACAGGUGCAUCAAAAGGAGGAAAAUUAAAUUAAAUUCUCAACCAUUGCAUGGAAGUCAUAAUUUAUAAAUGUUAUAAUCAACAGUGAUGACACACAGAUCUUUUAAUAUCACUUACUCCU